rnacentral:rRNA from 1 species
UACAGAGGGGGGCAAGCGUUGUUCGGAAUUACUGGGCGUAAAGGGCGCGUAGGCGGCCCGCUAAGUCGAACGUGAAAUCCCCGGGCUCAACCCGGGAACUGCGUCCGAUACUGGUGGGCUCGAAUCCGGGAGAGGGAUGCGGAAUUCCAGGUGUAGCGGUGAAAUGCGUAGAUAUCUGGAGGAACACCGGUGGCGAAGGCGGCAUCCUGGACCGGUAUUGACGCUGAGGCGCGAAAGCCAGGGGGAGCAAACGGGG